rnacentral:rRNA from 1 species
GACGAACGCUGGCGGCGUGCCUAAUACAUGCAAGUCGAACGCUUUUUCUUUCACCGGAGCUUGCUCCACCGAAAGAAAAGGAGUGGCGAACGGGUGAGUAACACGUGGGUAACCUGCCCAUCAGAAGGGGAUAACACUUGGAAACAGGUGCUAAUACCGUAUAACAAUAGAAACCGCAUGGUUUCUAUUUGAAAGGCGCUUUUGCGUCACUGAUGGAUGGACCCGCGGUGCAUUAGCUAGUUGGUGAGGUAACGGCUCACCAAGGCAACGAUGCAUAGCCGACCUGAGAGGGUGAUCGGCCACAUUGGGACUGAGACACGGCCCAAACUCCUACGGGAGGCAGCAGUAGGGAAUCUUCGGCAAUGGACGAAAGUCUGACCGAGCAACGCCGCGUGAGUGAAGAAGGUUUUCGGAUCGUAAAACUCUGUUGUUAGAGAAGAACAAGGAUGAGAGUAAAAUGUUCAUCCCUUGACGGUAUCUAACCAGAAAGCCACGGCUAACUACGUGCCAGCAGCCGCGGUAAUACGUAGGUGGCAAGCGUUGUCCGGAUUUAUUGGGCGUAAAGCGAGCGCAGGCGGUUUCUUAAGUCUGAUGUGAAAGCCCCCGGCUCAACCGGGGAGGGUCAUUGGAAACUGGGAAACUUGAGUGCAGAAGAGGAGAGUGGAAUUCCAUGUGUAGCGGUGAAAUGCGUAGAUAUAUGGAGGAACACCAGUGGCGAAGGCGGCUCUCUGGUCUGUAACUGACGCUGAGGCUCGAAAGCGUGGGGAGCAAACAGGAU